CAUAUGGUUUCAGUGUACUUGAGAAGGGCUCGAAACUAAGCCAAAACGUUGUAGAUAAAUAAAUAUAUUGCCAGUUUGGUCAACGUACAACAUAACAUUUUCAUCUCUUUUAUCUUCGGCUAAAACUUCUAAAUAUGAAAACAUUGCUUUUAAUGAAAGCAGUCUUUUUAAAGACAGUAGUAAGGAAAAUAAAGAAAAUUUGACAUAAACAAAGGUGGAAUCUCGGUAUACAGGGUUUGUCAAAAGUGUGGAAACCCUAAAUAAUUUGUGUAAAAAUAAAAAUAUCAAAAAACGGUAAAACACGUACACAACUGAUUCUGAGUAGCCGUGAGAACAACUGAUUUUGAGUACUUAAAAUCGCUAUAAUUUUGUAACAAGUAAUAAAAAAAAUUGUUUUAAACAAUUGUGUUUUC